rnacentral:rRNA from 1 species
AGAUUGAACGCUGGCGGCAGGCCUAACACAUGCAAGUCGAGCGGCAGCACGGGUACUUGUACCUGGUGGCGAGCGGCGGACGGGUGAGUAAUGCCUAGGAAUCUGCCUGAUAGUGGGGGAUAACGUUCGGAAACGGACGCUAAUACCGCAUACGUCCUACGGGAGAAAGUGGGGGAUCUUCGGACCUCACGCUAUCAGAUGAGCCUAGGUCGGAUUAGCUAGUUGGUAGGGUAAAGGCCUACCAAGGCUACGAUCCGUAACUGGUCUGAGAGGAUGAUCAGUCACACUGGAACUGAGACACGGUCCAGACUCCGUACGGGAGGCAGCAGUGGGGAAUAUUGGACAAUGGGACGCAAGCCUGAUCCAGCCAAUCGCCGCGUGUGGUAGAAGGAAGGCCGUUCGGUUAGUAAAGUACGUACUUUUAGUACCGGUAAAGAAAAGACGUAACGGUUAACUACCGU